UACGAGGGGGGCGAGCGUUGUUCGGAAUUAUUGGGCGUAAAGGGUGCGUAGGCGGUUUUGUAAGUCUUAUGUGAAAUCUAUGGGCUCAACUCAUAGACUGCAUGAGAAACUGCAGGGCUUGAGUAUGGGAGAGGUGAGUGGAAUCCCUGGUGUAGCGGUGAAAUGCGUAGAUAUCAGGAGGAACACCUGUGGCGAAAGCGGCUCACUGGACCAUAACUGACGCUGAUGCACGAAAGCUAGGGGAGCAAACAGG
rnacentral:rRNA from 1 species